GCCCAGUUAGUUUAAUUGGUUAGAACGCCACACCUAUUGUACCGUGGAAAUGCGGGUUCAAUUCCUGCACUGGGC
rnacentral:tRNA from 1 species